GGAAAGUUGACUGUGGUGCUUGGAAUCUCAGAUUAUAUCCAGGAUGGAAUGCUUGGUUCCUCCCUCUGGGUGGAGCAUCUUACAAUGAGAUGAUGAGUCAUGGGGCCAGGUGUUGAUGGGCUCACUAACAGAAGAUAGUCCGAAGGGAGUUAUCUAUGAGUCAUGCGGCAGGGCAUUGAUGGACCAUUAACAGAA